rnacentral:rRNA from 1 species
GUGUCAGCCGCCGCGGUAAUACGGGGGGGGUAAGCGUUGUUCGGAAUUACUGGGCGUAAAGGGCUCGUAGGCGGCCAACUAAGUCGGACGUGAAAUCCCUCAGCUUAACUGGGGAACUGCGUCCGAUACUGGAUGGCUUGGAUUUGGGAGAGGGAUGCGGAAUUCCAGGUGUAGCGGUGAAAUGCGUAGAUAUCUGGAGGAACACCGGUGGCGAAGGCGGCAUCCUGGACCAACAUUGACGCUGAGGAGCGAAAGCUAGGGGAGCAAACGGGAUUAGAUACCCCAGUAGUCC